rnacentral:lncRNA from 1 species
UACUCCCACACCAAGAGCAGCCCUUGCUCCCGAGGCCUGAGCUUGCAUCUGAGACCCUGUAUCUAGAAGUCAAGGCCAGGGGAUCCAUCGUCCAUGACAGACGCAGAGCUAAUUUGGAUUCCGUUCAGACUGUAAACCAGCACACUGUUGGAAUGACAACCAGCCAAGGGAAAUCUUGGACCACAGCUCCGAGAUGCUCAGCCUUAAAGAUCAUCCCUAGUAUGAAGGCAAUAAUGGUGUAACAGCUC